GGGCCUUCAGUUUGUAAAUGGCUUGAAACUUUAUAUUCAGGGGCAUCAAGUUGUGUUAUAAAUUAUGGACAUACUUCUAAUUUUUUUCAAUUGGAAAGAGGCUGCAGACAAGGAGAUCCUCUUUCACCCUAUUUAUUUAUUAUUGGUGUUGAAUUACUAUCUUUAAAAUUAAAAGAUAAUCCUGAAAUAAGGGGAAUAACUGUAGAUAAUAAUGAAUCACUUUUAAGCCAGUAUGCAGAUGACACAUUCCUUAUGUUAGAUGGAAAGGAAAUAUCGUUGAGGGAAACACUUUCAUGUUUUGAAUCUUUU
rnacentral:lncRNA from 1 species